UGGCUGCUUUCCUCUUCCUUACCUCUACAGUGGUGCUAACCUAACGCCCGGCAAGACAGCCGCCGGCCGUCGAAACGCACGCCGCCGCACGCCCUCUCUCUCCGGUCAAGACGCGCACGCCGCACCGCCGUCCCCCGUUGAUAAGGUUCAGCUGUGGAUGACGGACCAGAUGAAUGCUGCGGCAAGUCUUAAUCCAAGAGCGAGAGCCACCCUGGUUCUCGCUGGGGAAUCGUUCACAGUCAGCUCCGAGUCCGGUACCCUGUCGGAGCAGCUGGCGGCAAAUGAGGGAGAGGAGCAUGGUGAUACUCAAGGAGUACAUUACCAAGCACAACGCUCCGAACGAUGUCCCUGAUGAAUCCAUCGAGGGCUCAUCUGAUGAGGAGGGUGAAGCACUUGCCAAAACCCCGCCAAAGAAAUCUAAGAAGAAGUGAUCGUCCUAAAUCUCAUCAUAUUUAUCGUGCUCUUUCUUAGUCUCCUCUUGCAAAGAUCAGAGAACAUGCUGUCAUCACUUGCUACUAUUGCCCUGACACGAAAAAGAUCAAGUUAUCGUUAGGCACUAACUGCUUGUUUAUGGAAUUGUUAUCUGAAGCUAUGUGCAGGGGUAGUUUGCACCUUUCUGUACAAAUCGUCUGUUAGAUGUUUUGCUUUGGAGGGGAAUAUACGAGCUUCAGCACAAAA